AGACCUCCAGAAACCAUGUGUCAAGCUCGGAUUGCCUUAGACAGGUGCAAUUUAAGAACAGCUUUCAUCCUCUUUUCUCUCAUAUUGUCACACUAUGUGUUCUGACUUCUGGCUCCUUUCCUCACAAGAAGCUCACCCAGCUGGAACUCUUAUGGGACCUUGGCACCAGAGACCACAAAUUCCUCUUUGAAGUUUUCUAACAGCAACAAUGGUAUUUCUGACUUGGCUUUCUUGUAUUUCUCUCACGUUAACAAAAUUGGUUCAGCAUCUACCAUGGGCUACAUGCUGAGCUACAGACAGGGUCUUGCUCUGUUGCCCAGGCUGGAGAGCGGUGGUUUAACCACAGCUCACUGCAGCCUCGACCUCCCAAGGUAGGGACUGCAGGUGUGUACACUGGGGUGCACCACCACACCCAGCUAAUUUUUAAAUUUUUUUUUGUAGAUAUUGUCUCACUCUGUUGGCCAGACUGGUCUUGAAAUCCUGGGCUCGAGCAAUUCUCCUGCCUCGGCCUCGUAACGCGUUAGGAUUACAAGCGUGAACACCGCACCUGGCCAGCAUGUGGUCUCUUAACCAGAGGAGGCCUCUUCUGAACUAGGUAGAGGUCCUGAGAAUUGAUUCUGAGAGUAAAAGGCUCUUUGUUCUCCUCAGAGUAGAUUAGAAUCCCUAAUGAUAGAGCAUCUAUUAUUCCUCUAGUGGUCCAUGCCCAACAGAUUCAUCCAAGAAUAGAUGAAGAUCUUUGUAAUGUUGUGCAAGUAAUCUAAUCACCCCACAGAAGAGCUGUGACUUAAAUUAUCCCAGAGUCGGCCCACCUGUUUUCAUAAAGAUCAAUGUAACUUGUAAAUUUCUUCAGUUCUCCUCACCUAUCAUCAUUUGACUAACAAAACCCAGAAAACUAGGCUAGUUAUGGUGGCCUAUGC
rnacentral:lncRNA from 1 species